AAGCUGACAAAUACGUCAGAAUUUUUUUUUUUUUAGCAAAUAUUCAGUCUCCUCCACUGACCAGUUCAUAAGACGUAAAUAAAGACAUGCAUAUUUGUACAGUAAGAAGGUAAAAGUAGCAUGUAAUCAAAGAUUAUUUCAGGUCCACCCCUUUCAAUCCGAUAGAGACUUCAUUCGGACCAAACUCAAUCACAUUGAUUGAGGUGUUUACAUUAAGGCUUUUCAAUCUGACUGAGCCAUCAAUCCCAGUACUAACAGAUUGUUUGGGUGCAUGGGAAUGUAGCUAAUGACGUUUAUUACCUUUUCUACAAUUACAGGUUUUGACUGAGUCAGUGUCUUUUACCCACAAGCUACAACAGGUAAACAUGUUAGCUGUGUGGAUGGACUUUACAGUGACCCAAAAUGAAGUUAGAGUAGCAAUAAUAACUUUUUUUGGCUGAAAAAAUAUCAAUAGGAGGCUUGUUGCCAAAGAACUUUGAGUGUUUUUUUUUUUAGUGAUUAAUUUAAUCGGCUGAGAAAAUGACACCCAAUUAAAUUACCCAGUAACCCAAAUUUAAUUAUCGAAACUUUAUUUUCAAUUUCGUUUUUUUUUUAUUAAUACUAAAUAUCAGUUUAAUACUUUUUG